AUAUUUUUCCAUAUGAAACAGAAGCCACUCUAUACUUGCUGACAUGUUUAUAUUUGAUGAGUUGUUGACUUCCACACCUAUGUUUUGCUUUCUCAACCUCAGAAAAAAAAAGACCAAAAGAUAACUUUAUCUUCUACAUUUUCCUGGUCUUUCUGGUGCCAUCUGAUUUGGAAGAAACAUGUUCGUGUGAUUCAUUUGACUGGGACUGGAUCUCAUUAAAGUUCAUCCCUUAUUCUAAGAUAUAGGCAUGC